CCCGCCACGCCUCUCAAUGAUGCGUACCAUGGCGGGG
rnacentral:sRNA from 12 species